rnacentral:misc_RNA from 1 species
AAGUCGUAACAAGGUUUCCGUAGGUGAACCUGCGGAAGGAUCAUUAUUGAAAUAAAACUGAUGAGUUGCUGCUGGUUCUCUAGAGAACAUGUGCACGCUUGUCAUCUUUAUAUUUCCACCUGUGCACCUUUUGUAGACUUGGAUAUCUUUCUGAAUGCAUUUUCAGGUUUGAGGAUUGAUUUGCUUGUCUGUCCUUACAUUUCCAGGUCUAUGUUUAUUCAAGUACACCCUAAUUAUGUUAUAGAAUGUAAUAAAGUGAGCCUUUAGCGCUUAUAAACCUUUAUACAACUUUCAGCAACGGAUCUCUUGGCUCUC